rnacentral:rRNA from 1 species
GAUGAACGCUGGCGGCGUGCCUAAUACAUGCAAGUCGAGCGAACGGACGAGAAGCUUGCUUCUCUGAUGUUAGCGGCGGACGGGUGAGUAACACGUGGAUAACCUACCUAUAGGACUGGGAUAACUUCGGGAAACCGGAGCUAAUACCGGAUAAUAUUUUGAACCGAAUGGUUCAAAAGUGAAAGACGGUCUUGCGGUAACUAAUGGAUGGAUCCGCGCUGCAUUGCUAGUUGGUAAGGUAACGGCUUACCAAGGCAACGAUGCAUAGCCGACCUGAGAGGGUGAUCGGCCACACUGGAACUGAGACACGGUCCAGACUCCUACGGGAGGCAGCAGUAGGGAAUCUUCCGCAAUGGGCGAAAGCCUGACGGAGCAACGCCGCGUGAGUGAUGAAGGUCUUCGGAUCGUAAAACUCUGUUAUUAGGGAAGAACAUAUGUGUAAGUAACUGUGCACAUCUUGACGGUACCUAAUCAGAAAGCCACGGCUAACUACGUG